GACGAACGCUGGCGGCGUGCCUAAUACAUGCAAGUCGAACGCUGAAGGAGGAGCUUGCUUCUCUGGAUGAGUUGCGAACGGGUGAGUAACGCGUAGGUAACCUGCCUGGUAGCGGGGGAUAACUAUUGGAAACGAUAGCUAAUACCGCAUAAUAUUGACUAUUGCAUGAUAGUCAGUUGAAAGGUGCAACUGCACCACUACCAGAUGGACCUGCGUUGUAUUAGCUAGUUGGUGGGGUAACGGCUCACCAAGGCGAGGAUACAUAGCCGACCGGAGAGGGUGAUCGGCCACACUGGGACGGAGACACGGCCCAGAGUCCUACAGGAGGCAGCAGGAGGGAAUCGUCGGCAAGGGACGGAAGUCUGACCGAGCAACGCCGCGGGAGGGAAGAAGGUUGUCGGAUCGGAAAGCUCGGUUGUAAGAGAAGAACGAGUGUGAGAGUGGAAAGCUCACACUGUGACGGUAUCUUAACAGAAAGGGACGGCUAACUACGUG
rnacentral:rRNA from 1 species